rnacentral:rRNA from 1 species
UACGGAGGAUCCAAGCGUUAUCCGGAUUUACUGGGCGUAAAGAGUUGCGUAGGUGGUAGUUUAAGCGAAUAGUGAAAUCUUGUGGCUCAACCAUAAGGCUAUUAUUCGAACUGAAUUACUCGAGAACGAGAGAGGUCACUGGAAUUCCUUGUGUAGGAGUGAAAUCCGUAGAUAUAAGGAGGAACACCAAUGGCGUAGGCAGGUGACUGGCUCGUUUCUGACACUAAGGCACGAAAGCGUGGGUAGCGAACGGG